rnacentral:rRNA from 1 species
AUUGAACGCUGGCGGCAGGCCUAACACAUGCAAGUCGAGCGGAUGAAGGGAGCUUGCUCCUGGAUUCAGCGGCGGACGGGUGAGUAAUGCCUAGGAAUCUGCCUGGUAGUGGGGGAUAACGUCCGGAAACGGGCGCUAAUACCGCAUACGUCCUGAGGGAGAAAGUGGGGGAUCUUCGGACCUUACGCUAUCAGAUGAGCCUAGGUCGGAUUAGCUAGUUGGUGGGGUAAAGGCCUACCAAGGCGACGAUCCGUAACUGGUCUGAGAGGAUGAUCAGUCACACUGGAUCUGAGACACGGUCCAGACUCCUACGGGAGGCAGCAGUGGGGAAUAUUGGACAAUGGGCGAAAGCCUGAUCCAGCCAUGCCGCGUGUGUGAAGAAGGUCUUCGGAUUGUAAAGCACUUUAAGUUGGGAGGAAGGGGAGUAAGUUAAUACCUUGCUGUUUUGACGUUACCAACAGAAUAAGCACCGGCUAACUUCGUG